rnacentral:lncRNA from 1 species
UUGGAUCCAAUUCUGGCGUUGAACUCCAACUCCUAACUUGUUUCUGGCGCUGGACGCCAGACAGCAGCAUGGAACUGGCGUUGAACGCCAGUUUACGUCGUCUAUCCUUGAGCAAAGUAUGGACUAUUAUAUAUUUCUGGAAAGUCCUGGAUGUCUACUUUCCAACGCAAUUGGAAGCGCGCCAUUUGGAGUUCUGUAGCUCCAGAAAAUCCACUUUGAGUGCAGGGAGGUCAGAAUCCAACAGCAUCAGCAGUCCUUUUUCAGCCUGAAUCAGAUUUUUGCUCAGCUCCCUCGAUUUCAGCCAAAAAAUACCUGAAAUCACAGAAAAACACACAAACUCAUAGUAAAGUCCAGAAAUAUGAAUUUUGCCUAAAAGCUACUGAAAAUAGACUAAAAACUAACUAAAACACACUAAAAGCUAUAUGAAAUUAACCCCAAAAAGCGUAUAAAAUAUCCGCUCAUCAGUGCCUAUACGUGACAUUCUCCCACUUCGGUCCUAAAAUACUAUCCUAGAAAAAAUAAGUUCAACAUAAAACUUAAAUAAUUGAUUAUAGUUAGAGAUAGAAAAUCUACCUAAAACACAGAUGCAUAGAAUACAGAAGAAGUAAAAUCCAAUUAAUCUCAGGAAAAUAAUACCAUCCUAAAAAAAUAAGAGAGCUUAUUAAACUCACAAUGUGAAAUUAAUUAAUUUAACAAACUACACAAAGUCUUCCAACAAUGUCGACCACUCUUAAUCUCACUCUAUUUAACCUAUCUUGAUUUAAUUUCUAUUUACAUUAAAUUAACAUAAGAAAUCCUAAUCACAAACUUGAUUACCCUAAUUUAAUCAAUAAUUUAGUAAAAUACCUAACAAAAUCCUAAACUCACAAAAAAAAUAAAGACCCUAAAAACACUAUACCAAAUCCUAAUCACGAACUUCAUUACAAUAAUUUAAUCAAUAAUUCCAAAAAAUCCUAAACUCACAUANNNNNNNNNNNNNNNNNNNNNNNNNNNNNNNNNNNNNNNNNNNNNNNNNNNUUCCGAUGGAAAAUUGUUUAAACACAAUGUUUCAUUAAAGUGAGUUACCGUUGGCGAAAUCCAACAGUAGAUCCGCCGAUACUCUUGGCGCCAAAAAAAAAAUAUUUUGCGCCACUUCUCAUCGUCGGAUUUAUAGUCGGAAAAUUAAUUUCGACGGUAAGCAAUUUAGGGAACCAAAUAUAGGCUGUAUCCAACACAAAAACCAAUGCUAAAUCUGACGGUAAUGGGCACCGCUCAAUCUGACGAUAUUUCUGAUGGUAUUCAACGUUUUUCUUGUAGUGAGCUAUAGAAAUAAAAACCAAAAUGAGUAAAACAAAGCCGAAACAAUAGAUCAUUAAAAAGGAUGCAAGGUGGAGAGGUAUGAAUUACUUCAAACAUAAGAAUUAGGUCAUUGAAGAAUAGCGACAACAGAGAACAUAUGAUAUAAGCACAAAAUCAGCAAAGCAACAAAAACAUUAUCAAAGAACUCACUCCUAAUCUCCCACUUUCAGCUUGAAUUUCAGAAAAAUAAUGGAAUAGCAAUGGAAGAGUUUGAUCCCACUAAGGACAUAAAUCAAAUAGUUAGAGAAGAGGAGAGUGAAGCGUUGCGCAGAGAAGAGAAGAAAGUGAAGAGUGAGGAGCAAUGGCGCGCUCGAAGAAGGGGAGAGUAGUGGCGCGAUGAAAAAACUGGGUGGGUUCAAGAGUAGUGGCGCAAUCGAAGAAGAGGAGAGCAAUGACGCGAUGAAAAAACUGGGUAGGUUCAGGAGCAGUGGCGUAAUCGAAGACAAGGAAAGCAGUGGCACAAUAAAAAAAACUAGGUGGGUUUUGUUUUGGAUCGUGCGUGUGUAUUUACUGAAUGUCUCCAUAUCUAUAUUCGUAUGCAUUAUUUUACUAUAUUUUGAUUCAAUGAUUGAAAUUAGUGGUUAAAAAUGAUAUAAAAAUAGCAUUUUUUUAAUAAUAAUAUGAUUAGGAUUUUUUCAAAAAUUAACAUGAUCUAAAGAGAUUAUGAAGUGGACCUCGAGUCCAACUUGAGCAAGACUCGAGUAAGCAAUUCUAGACAACCAUGUCAUUUUUUUGGAAUUUUUGAAUGAUUAUACUCUUAUAGGCAUCUAUCUAACCAUCUCAACUUUAUUGAUAAAAUGCAAUGGUGCACGUUGUUAUUCAUGUUACACCGCUGAGUCAGCAUGUAUUUUUUAAUGGUGCAGGUUGUUAUUCAUGUUACACCGCUGAGUCAGCAGGUAUUUUUUACAUGUUAGAUUUGUAACGAUCUAACUUCCAAUACGUCAUGAUCGUAUCAAAAGUAAGACGUUACUAACCUAUUGUCUUUAUUAACUAUUUAAUAUUGAGCUUUUAAUUUGAUAUUGCGUUUCAGUUUUUAAGAAAAUGUCAGAAAGUUUUGUUUUUUACUUUUUAAAAUCAUAUAUUAAACAUCAUCAAAUAAUAAUAAUCACGUAAUUAUUAAUAAUAAUAAGUAUUAUAAAAAAGAAUUCAAAUGAAACUCAGAUACAACUCCUAUCCCUUUGUAUAAAAUAAAAUCUUAUGAAAGCAACUCAACUCAUAAACUUAACUCAUAAAUAAGUCUAAUAAUCGCCUGCAACUUCAAAUUGAGUCUUCGAACCUGUGUCACUAAAAGGGUGGAAAAUUUUUGGGGUGAUAACAAACUACACAUUCUCAGUAGGAAAUGGGAAUGCCGUAAAAGUAAUGAAAUAAAAUGGAAAUAUUUAACUUUUCUUUAACUUUCUAAAUUCAAAACAGAUUUCAAUCACAAAAGUAGUCAUUAACCAUCUCUCAACCACAUAAUCAUUUCUCAACCACAACAUUUCACCUCAAUACAUCCGUGAACUAAUAGCACAAGUAAGAGAUCCAAACCAACACACAAACAAGUCACAAUAAGACAAACAGCACAUCCACAGAGAAAUAAUACAAGCAAACACAACCAAAUGCACAUGCACAAACAAUAUGAUGCAUGUUUGUCCUAAACAGACUAUGAGUUCACGUGUCGGUUUACACCCUGCAGCCCGACAUUACCUAGGAACAAGUCCCAGAUAUGUUUUCCCUUUGUGUCUUUAGUGCAUACGUGUCGGUGGUAAGAAUACCACUCCUUUGUGACUACCGGUAGUCAGUGCAAAACUCGACCCCAUAAUAUACGCACAAGGGCAAAUAGUGAUCCUCAGUUCAUGGGUUUCCCCGAGAUCAACAUACAACAAAAUAGAGAUCCUCAGCUCAUGGGUUUCUCCAAGAUCAAUACACAACAAACACGAUCCUCAGUUCAUGGGUUAUUCCCGAGAUCAAUACACAACAAACAACGAUCCUCAGUUCAUGAGUUAUCCCCGAGAUCAAUGAUUAUCAAUUUAUAGGUUUUUCCUGUAUUUAAAACCAUUAAUUAAAACCAAAACCUCUUUCCAUUCUUUAAACUUUCCUUAACUUUCUUAGACAUUCUUUCCCAAAAACCUCAACCACCAAAUCAUAAUUCUUUUCUAUAUAAAUCGAACUUAAAAUAGUAUAAUUCUUUCCUUAAUAAAUUGAACUCAAAAUAGAAUAAAUAAAACUCAACACAAAAUCUAUUCUUUUCAAUAAAUUCAAAAUCAAAUAGCAUAGUUUCCCAAAUCCAAGUUUUUAUAAAAUAACAUUUCAAACAAGACCUCGAAUUUUAUAAAAUUUCAGUAGCACCUUCCCUAAAACUCGGACUUAACCACCCUUACGGGUUCCCUCUUCCUCAAUAAUUCACCAGUCAUUUUCUCAACAAUUAUCAAAAUAGCAAUUCUCAAUAGCCAUCUAAUCAUAAUCCAGUUUAACGACUAAUAUCCUAUCAUCAAUUAAAACCAGAAUUUCCAUAAACCAUUCUUUAAAAGUAAAUCAGUCCAAAUUCAAGAAUUCAUAACUAAUAUUCCAAAAACCAACCUUUCAUAUCUCUAGUUAUUUUAAAGUUAUUUAGUUAUUAGCAAAGUUACUAUUUUGUUCUAAAGAUCAGAUUUCAAGAAAAUAGUUCAGUCAACCUUCAAUCCUUUAACCGUCCUCAAAAUCAAUUCUAGUUAACCAUAAAUCAACAAUAACAACCAUCACAGCACCAUCAAGCAAAUCAGUCGAUAAUAACCAAUUAAGCAUAAUCAGAAAAAAUCAAGAUUCUCUGCAAUUCCAAAACAACCAGAGAACGAAUAUCAAUCACAGCCUCAAACUAAAAUCAUUCUCAUCAAUUAAUCACUCACGACAACAAAAACCAGUCACAAUCACAACCAUAAUCUAAACUCAAUUCAUCAAUUAUCAAAACGUCAGAUUUUCAAUAAUUAACUCAUCAUAUUUCAAUUUAAUAAGUAAUAUCAAAUAAAUCACCAUUCACAGCCAAUUUUAACCAAUUCCAACCCUUUGCAAAUCCAUUUCACAGCCAUUCCAAUAUAUUAAAUUUCCAAUUCAAUAUUAAACAAUUCAAAAUAAUUCAUUCAAGAUCAGAAUCUCAGCCAAUUCAUCGCGAAAAUCAAUAAUUCAAAACACAAUUCACAACCGCAUCUAAUUUCACUUAUAAUUUAAAGUAUUCACAACCGUAUCUAAUUCUAAUUCAUAAUUCGGAAUAAUCACAACAGUAUUCAAUUCUAAUCAUAAUUCACAAUAAUCACAACUAACUAUUCUCAAACACAUUUCAAGCAAUUCACAUCAAUUAAUCAAUUCUUAACCAUUAUUAAGUAUUUGCAAUUAUCCAAUUAACUUUGUAGGCAUUCCAAAUUAAAAAUGUUUUUUAAAAAUAAAUUCCCUACCUCCGAGUGUCGAAAUCCAUAGAAAUUGGGAAUGCUGCACAACUCUAAUAGCAGCCAUAUCAUCUCAAGAUAGUAGCAGCAACAAUUUGGCAUCUCCGAUCGACGGCAGCAGCACUCUGUCAGAUUGCGGCACCCGUUCUGUCCCCUAGGCAGCAACCACAGUGGUUCUGGGCAGCUCCAGUAGCAACCACCAUGGCAUCUUGGCUUCAGCAGCGGUUUCCGAUGGCAACGGCAGCGUGCAGCUCGACGGGAACCUCUGUCUCCAGCAACGACAGCAGCUAUACAAGCCCCUGUCUUCCCUGUCGCGUCUCUCUUCUCUGCGAAAUCCUAUCUCUCUCUUCGUGCUCGUUGGCAGUGGCAGAAGUGGUGGCGACGAACCCUAGCAGUGGCGGCGGCGGACCGGUCGCGGUGGAGGCAGCAGCGCACACCGCAUCUCCUCUCCAGUCUCGGACGCGAGCUCUCUCUCCUCCACCCUUCAUGCUCGACGGCGACUAUGACGGCGAUGACUACGGCCCACUUCGAAGCAGCGACGACGGCGACCUCGUGGCAGCAGAGCGCAACGAGAAUCAGAAUCGACGGCAACUUCUCCUCGACGGCAACGAGCUCGCACCAACGGCUGGACGGCAAUGAGCGUGAAUGACGGUGCAGGCAAGACGCGAUGGGGGGCGGCGAGCUGGACGGCGCCAGCAGCGUGGCUCUUUUCUGAUCGCAGCUCCGUUCCUUCUCUCUUUAGUUCUCUUUUCUUUGUUUCUUUCCUACUGUUGCUGUGUUGUGUUUGAGAAAGGGGAAAACUGAAAAGUGUGUGCGUUUAGCCAAAAAGGGGGUGGGGUGCGGCUGAG